GGGACAUGCGGUGUGGAGGGGGGGGGAAUACGGUGGGGGCGGGCGUUUAACGGAAUUACUGGGAGUAAAGCGGGAGCAUGCGGUGUGGUAAGCGAGAUGUGAAAGUGCUGGGCUCAACCUAGGAAUAGCAUUUCGAACUGGCGAACUAGAGUCGUGUAGAGGGGGGUAGAAUUCCAGGUGUAGCGGUGAAAUGCGUAGAGAUCUGGAGGAAUACCGGUGGCGAAGGCGGCCCCCUGGACAAAGACUGACGCUCAUGCACGAAAGCGUGGGGAGCAAACAGGAUUAGAUACCCCAGUAGUC
rnacentral:rRNA from 1 species